rnacentral:rRNA from 1 species
GACGAACGCUGGCGGCGUGCUUAACACAUGCAAGUCGAACGGAAAGGCCCUGCUUUUGUGGGGUGCUCGAGUGGCGAACGGGUGAGUAACACGUGAGUAACCUGCCCUUGACUUUGGGAUAACUUCAGGAAACUGGGGCUAAUACCGGAUAGGAGCUCCUGCUGCAUGGUGGGGGUUGGAAAUUUUCGGCGGGUGGGGAUGGACUCGCGGCUUAUCAGCUUGUUGGUUGGGUAGUGGCUUACCAAGGCUUUGACGGGUAGCCGGCCUGAGAGGGUGACCGGCCACAUUGGGACUGAGAUACGGCCCAGACUCCUACGGGAGGCAGCAGUGGGGAAUAUUGCACAAUGGGCGGAAGCCUGAUGAAGCAACGCCGCGUGCGGGAUGACGGCCUUCGGGUUGUAAACCGCUUUAGCCUAUGACGAAGCGUGAGUGACGGUAAUGGGUAAAGAAGCACCGGCUAACUACGUG